UUAGAGUUUGAUCCUGGCUCAGGACGAACGCUGGCGGCGUGCUUAACACAUGCAAGUCGAACGGAGUUAUUUGGAAAGCUUGCUUUUUGGAUAACUUGGUGGCGGACGGGUGAGUAACGCGUGAGUAAUCUGUCUCACACAGGGGAAUAACGCACCGAAAGGUGUGCUAAUACCGCAUGAGACCACAGGGAGGCAUCUUCCAGGGGUCAAAGAUUUAUCGGUGUGAGGUGAGCUCGCGUCCCAUUAGAUAGUUGGUGAGGUAACGGCCCACCAAGUCGACGAUGGGUAGCCGACCUGAGAGGGUGAUCGGCCACAUUGGAACUGAGAUACGGUCCAAACUCCUACGGGAGGCAGCAGUGAGGAAUAUUGGUCAAUGGACGCAAGUCUGAACCAGCCAUGCCGCGUGAAGGAAUAAGGCCCUAUGGGUCGUAAACUUCUUUUGUGGUGGAGCAAUAAGUCGUACGUGUACGGCGAUGAGAGUACAUCACGAAUAAGCAUCGGCUAACUCCGUGCCAGCAGCCGCGGUAAUACGGAGGAUGCAAGCGUUAUCCGGAUUUAUUGGGUUUAAAGGGUGCGUAGGCUGUGAUCCAAGUCAGGGGUGAAAGCCCGGAGCUCAACUCCGGAACUGCCUUUGAUACUGGAUUGCUGGAAUACGGAUGCCGUGGGAGGAAUGAGUAGUGUAGCGGUGAAAUGCAUAGAUAUUACUCAGAACACCGAUUGCGAAGGCAUCUCACGAAUCCGUCAUUGACGCUGAGGCACGAAAGCGUGGGGAUCAAACAGGAUUAGAUACCCUGGUAGUCCACGCAGUAAACGAUGAUAACUAACCGUCGGCGAUAGACAGUCGGUGGCCAAGCGAAAGCGAUAAGUUAUCCACCUGGGGAGUACGUUCGCAAGAAUGAAACUCAAAGGAAUUGACGGGGGCCCGCACAAGCGGAGGAGCAUGUGGUUUAAUUCGAUGAUACGCGAGGAACCUUACCCGGGCUCGAACGGCUAGUGAACGACUCAGAGAUGAGAAGGUCCUUCGGGACACUAGUCGAGGUGCUGCAUGGUUGUCGUCAGCUCGUGUCGUGAGAUGUUGGCUUAAGUGCCAUAACGAGCGCAACCCUUGUCGCCAGUUACCAUCAUUCAGUUGGGGACUCUGGCGAGACUGCCACCGCAAGGUGUGAGGAAGGCGGGGAUGACGUCAAAUCAGCACGGCCCUUACGUCCGGGGCGACACACGUGUUACAAUGGUAGCUACAGAGGGAAGCCACCUGGUGACAGGGAGCAGAUCUCGAAAAGCUAUCUCAGUUCGGAUUGGAGUCUGCAACUCGACUCCAUGAAGCUGGAUUCGCUAGUAAUCGCGCAUCAGCCAUGGCGCGGUGAAUACGUUCCCGGGCCUUGCACACACCGCCCGUCAAG
rnacentral:rRNA from 1 species